UUCCAGUUCUGUGUUUCUAUGAUUCUAUAUAUAUUGUGGCUAGGGAAACUAAAGUUCAGUUUUUCAUUUUAAUUGCAGGAAAAUGUGUUUUUUUUUUUUUUUUUUUUUUAAAUGGAGAAUUUGGUUUUUUAUUAUGGGAAAACUAGUAUUCCUGCUCAUUAGGAUGCUGGAGUCUAAUUGCAGUUUGUAGGAUUAUUGCCCUCUUUCCUUUGCAGCAGCUCUUGUCCUUGCUGCCAAGUCAGUUAGAGCUUUUCCUCAAAUUUUUCAUUUCUUGGUCAUCAGGAAAGAGUCCUAAGUGAAACAUCUAAGCUAAAGAAGCCUUAAUCCAAGCAAGUUUGUUAGACACUUGAGCUCUGUUAAGAGAUUUGUCUUGCCUAGAGUAUUUUACUCUUGAUACUGCUUGAAAGUCCAGUCACAAAUAAACAUAAAUAAUGAUAUGUGGAAUGGACUACUUCAGAUGAAAUGAAGUGGAAAGUUUCCUUGGUUCUUAUAAGUGAUGUCUGCUCCUUAGUUAUGGCCCCCAUAAAUCCCAAAAUAUAUUUAUUUAACAGAUGGAUUAGGUGCACCGAACAUCUUCAGAAAAAGAAUAAAUAUAUUAAUACAGUGAAUCUAAAUUAUUUGGAGAAUCCAGUGAAGAGAUUUCUAGGAAUAUUUUAGUCUGAACUUUUUCACCUUUAUCAAGGAUGAAAACUCUUGUACUGACAGACUGUGUCCUAAUAUGGCUCGGCAGUCCUUCAGACUAUCUUCUUUUGGACUCAAGAAUUGAUUUCCAACUUUUUAGGACAGAGGUCAGAACAGAUUGUCCUUCAGUAAUUUAAACAGUUAAACAAAGUUGCCAUCUCUUCAUUCAGUUAAAUUAGGGACUUUAUUUUCUCCUUUUAAACCUAUUCUGCUUCAGACAUACAGGAAGGGAUAUCUUGAGAUUUCCCUUUUCUCUUUGUACUAACUUCUGCCAGUGAAUUUAACUUUAAAACAUUUGCAGAGCAUAAUAGGAAGAGAAGACUGGAAUGGGACUCAUAUGCUUAAAUUUAGAUGUGUGUAGGUACCUUGUUGAACUGAGGCCAUGAUUUUCAUCCUUGGAUAAAACUCCUCUAUUAUAAAAGUUGGGUAAAGCUGCAUCUGUUUUGCUGAUGAGCAACAGCGAGCCAGUGAACUCAUCAGGUCAGACUGAUGUGCUGACUUUUACGUUAGGUAUAGAAAAAAUAUUAUGUAGUGAUAUUAGACACAUAUGAGCUUUAUUUUUUUCCCUCUCCAACUUACUUUCUUGCAUAGCAAUGCAAGCACUUGCCAUUAGUUUUCUGAUGUACACAUGACACAGUUCACUGGUGCAAAGAUGUUGAGCAGGUCUGUUUUUGCUGAUGAAUAUAGUGUGUGUGUGCUGAAUUUAGGAAUGUUACUGUAUGUGCUGGAGAGGUAUUUGAUUUGGUGUCGGUUAGUGAAAAUGGUUGGUCAGUGUAGCGGUAUAAGGAUUAAAAGGAUACCUUACCUGGAAACUUAAUUGGUUAUAGGCAAGGUGUUCCCCUGAAGCAACUUUUGGAGUAUUUUGUUUGUGGAGAACAUAUAUACUGAUAUAAAGCUAUGUAAAUUAAUUAUUCCUAUUGAAUAUAUUUCCAUUACAAUAUUAAGUCUGUCUCUCCUACAGUUAACAGAAUAUUGUUUGCAUGAUGACACAUUAAAGCCUGUUAAUUUACAUUUCUAUAACUCAUUAGUGUGCAUGAUGUUGGCUUACUUGAGAAAUAUUUAAGCUUCACAAUGCUUAUAGGAACACAGGACACAAGGCUGGAAAUGGGCCUCCUGGGUGAAGUCCAGUCCUCUGCUGUUGAAGGCAACCAUGUCAUAUAAUCCCUUUCACAAAUUUAUCAAGCGCCAUCUUAAAACUAAUCAGGUGGUUUGCUCCCACUACUCCUCUUGGAAAAUACAAUCUUCUUUCAGUUUAUUGUUCAAUUCUGUAACAUACACCUGGUCAAAAUAGAUCUGUGGUCAGUAAACUCUAAUCUUCAAAUAGACUUUUAAGCAGGAGCAUCAUCUAGAGUAACAAAGGCAAGUGAAAUGCUAAACUCUUUAAUACACAGUUGAACGCUGUCCUGAUGGCAGAGUAAUGUGUAAUAAAGAGAAAUGCAUUGCUGUUUGUUGAUGAAUUAUUUCACUUUGACAAUUACAAAGGGAACAUCAGUAGUUUUUCAGAACAUCUUGACUUCAUUUUUCUUAUUACUGGGUAUUAAUAAAGUGUUUUUUACCUUGAAAUCUAAGCACAAUUGACCAGAUUCCUCAAUUUUUCUACUAUUGCCACCUUUUUAUUUUAAAACGGGGAAAAUUUGCUAUGCAGGUGAAAGUUACCAGAUGAGCCAAACUUACCAGAUACCAUAGAGCAUGGACAUCCUUUUGACAGUGGGUCUCAACCUUGCUGUGGAGGGACUGCGGUAAAGGAAAGUCAUCUCUUUGCUCAUUCCAUCCUUUACCUCUUUGCUGAGAGUGCCAGCAAAGGUACCAAUUGUGCAGAUGACUUUUGUGAUGUGAGCUGGACUGAGACUCCAACUUAUUUUAUAUAAACCACUGAAAAGCCAUCACAAUAAAAUUUUUGAUCACAGAAGUGGGCUUUUAAAUAUUUAUUUAAACAAACACUUCAGUUUGUCUCUGAAAUAAAAUCUACCAAAUUGGAAUACUCUCUAAUAAAUUGUGUGACUAAAAUUGGAUUUUAAUCAGGGGAAGAAUGCUUUUAAAAAUUAAUUCAGUUAUCAAAACCUACACCAAAUGUUAUGGCCAGUGCUAGAAGUUUGGAAAAAAUACAGGAGAAAAUUAUUAGCUCUUUUUUUAAUAACAUUGUGGAUGCACUAUGUAACUGAUAUAAACUGUUCAGAAGGGAAAGUUAUGGCAAAAUGUGACAUUCAUGCAUAUUUAGACACGAUGAUUUAUUUGGGAUGGGUAUCGGUUAGCAUGUUUUAUUGUCUCAGAUGGAUUUUAUUCAGAGCUGUACAAAGUCAGAGUGGCGAGUGUAUACCUGAAAGUCAGCCCCAUUGUUCAGCACACUGUGUGCCGCCUGUCAGAGAUAUGUAGGUUUCUCUUGGCUCCCACCCCUGGAUUUGUGUGGUGGCCUACCCCUUGAUUUCUACUGCAGAUUGGGAACUCCUUUUCCAGAAUCGUGGAGAUAGUGUAUCAGGCAUUUCUUCUGAGGCCUUCUGAUUUGGGUUUGUUUCUACUGACCUUAAGAAAUCUGACAGUUGGGAAUUUCAUUUGUGUAGUCAGGCAAAGGGCAAGUAAUAUACUAUUUAUCCCUGAAAUGUCUGAAGUGUCCUUUCUUUGGGAUGGAACUCAAGUAUGCAGAUUCCUCAGUGAUUUGAAAUUUUGUGCCAGACUAUGGAAAUUUUGUCCUUUUGCAGUAUAAGUCCUGCUAAGAGGGUUGAGUAGUUGCUCUUUUGUAGUUAGGUUUAUUUGUAAUUUACUGACAAUUCUGAUAUUUUGGUGACUUCUGCCAAGGAAAGCUUGUCAGAUUUCCAGAGGCUGCCAGCUGCCAUGUUUCUAGUUUGUCCUUUUCAUUUUAGUUGCAGUGGUGUUUGCCAGUUUCACUUGUAACUGUAUCAUUACGAUCUGGUUAUAAAUGCAAAGAAAGAACUUACUAAAUUACUGGUAGCUCUUCUGGUAAACUUCAGGGCAAAGUCUACACUACAAAAUUAAGUCAACCUUAGUUAGGUCAACGUAUAGCCGCUGCAGUAAUUAAAUCCCUUUUGCAUGUCCACACUACGCUUCUUGUGUUGGUGGUGUGUGUCCUCACUUGCAGCACUUACAUGAUGCAGAGAGCAGUGCACUGUGGGUUGCUAUCCCACUGUGCAGCUUGCCACCAUCUAGCACACUGUUUUGAGAAGGAUUUGCAAAGUCUCAUGGGGGCAAAGAGUCACGCAGGGGUUACUGGAAACUUAGUUUAAUGUCCCUUGUUGCAGUUUUCUCCAUCCCAUAAUUUCAUCUGCAUUCCAUAAUGUUUUGCGCCAUUUCUCAAAAGCCCUGCAAACCUGCAUGUGUGCCAUCUGUGUGAGAAGCAUGGAUCCUGCACAGCUCUGCACUGUUGUGAUGAGCAUUGUGAGCACAGUGUGCCCGAUCCUGAAGUCUUUGCAAAACUAUCAGAGGAGCUGCAGGAAACAUGAUGAUUACUUGGAGGCUAGCUUGCUGUGGGACAUAGAAAGAAACAACUCCAGGUUGUUGCUGGCAUUCACCUAGCAGCUACAGAUGAUGGAGCGCUGGUUCUGGGCCUGAGAAACAAGCACUGACUGAUUGGAUUGAAUCAUUAUACAGGUAUGGGAUGAUGAGCAGUGGCUUCAGAACUUUCGAAUGUGCAAGGCCACAUUGCUGGAUAUGUGUGCACUGUUUGCCCCAGCCCUCCAACGCAGUGACACCAAAAUGAGAGCUGCACUGAUAGUGGAAAAGCAGCAUCAUUUGAGAGAAGCAAUGGAACAGCAGCUGGGCAUGGAUUUCUUUCCUCUUGCCCCUUUUUAGUCUUGAAGAUAUUUUUAUGGACUAAAUUCCAAAAUGGACCUCCAGAAAUUAUUAUUUUGAGACUAUAUCACAAUGCUCCAAACUUAACAAUACUUAGGAAGUUUCUUUGAGAAGCUCACUUUUUAAAGAAGAUUGAACUCUGCAUCACUCCUGAGUCAAUUAUUAUUUUAUUCAAACCAAAAUAGCUAUGCAUUUUUAUGCAUUGUAUUAUUCACGUGCCUUGGAUCUAUAACUGCCUAGGUUAUUUUGGACUGAGAUUUAAAUCUCUGCUCAGUCAGGACAGUGUGUUCCAACUUUCAGUUGUUGAAACAUGACCCUGGGUUUGCUCUUUAUAAUGUCUACUUGAUGUAUAAUUAAAUAUGGAAAUUCUUAUAGCUCCUAUAGCUUGGUAUGUAACUAAAAUUGUUGUUUGCCUAUGUAAAUUGGAUUACUUAAAUUGUCAUUGGUUGUUUUAUACUUCAGUUAAGAGGAGUAUGUAAGGAAGUUUAUAUUAUAAAAGAAAUUGCAUUACCAAUUAUACUCUUAAGUGGUUUGACUCCAUUUAGGCAUUCAUUAGAAUUUAUAUUGGUAUAAAUUAAGACCUGCAUUUUACUCUGUUUUAUUCAUUCCUGUUGGAUGUAAUAGGGGAAUUUACUGUUUGUAACUAGAAUAAAAAUACUUGGCAAAUUAAAAA